AUUGAACGCUAGCGGGAUGCUUUACACAUGCAAGUCGAACGGCAGCGCGGACUUCGGUCUGGCGGCGAGUGGCGAACGGGUGAGUAAUGUAUCGGAACGUGCCCACUAGCGGGGGAUAACUACGCGAAAGCGUAGCUAAUACCGCAUAAGCCCUACGGGGGAAAGCAGGGGAUCGUAAGAACUUGCAGUAUUGGAACGGCCGAUCUCGGAGUAGCUAGUUGGCGAGGUAACGGCUCAACAAGGCGACGACCGGUAGCCGGUUUGACAGGACGACCAGCCACCCUGGGACUGAGACACGGCCCAGACUCCUACGGGAGGCAGCAGUGGGGAAUCUUGGACAAUGGGGCCAACCCUGAUCCAGCCAACCCGCGUGAGCGAUGAAGGCCUUCGGGUUGUAAAGCACUUUUGGCAGGAAAGAAACGUCGCGGGCUAAUACCCCGUGGAACUGACGGUACCUGCAGAAUAAGCACCGGCUAACUACGUG
rnacentral:rRNA from 1 species